rnacentral:rRNA from 1 species
GAUGAACGCUGGCGGUAUGCUUAACACAUGCAAGUCGAACGGACUCUUCGGAGUUAGUGGCCGACGGGUGAGUAACGCGUGAGAAUCUGGCUUUGGGUUCGGGACAACCACUGGAAACGGUGGCUAAUACCGGAUGUGCCGAGAGGUAAAAGAGAAAUUGCCUGAAGAUGAGCUCGCGUCUGAUUAGCUAGUUGGUGAGGUAAAGGCUCACCAAGGCAGCGAUCAGUAGCUGGUCUGAGAGGAUGACCAGCCACACUGGGACUGAGACACGGCCCAGACUCCUACGGGAGGCAGCAGUGGGGAAUUGUCCGCAAUGGGCGAAAGCCUGACGGAGCAAUACCGCGUGAGGGAAGAAGGCUCUUGGGUUGUAAACCUCUUUUCUUAGGGAAGAACAAAAUGACGGUACCUAAGGAAUCAGCAUCGGCUAACUCCGUG